UACGUAGGGAGCAAGCGUUGUCCGGAUUUAUUGGGCGUAAAGAGCUCGUAGGCGGUUCCGUAAGUCAGGUGUGAAAAAUCUGGGCUCAACCCAGUGGAGCACCUGAUACUGCGGUGACUCGAGUCCGGUAGGGGAGUGUGGAAUUCCUGGUGUAGCGGUGAAAUGCGCAGAUAUCAGGAAGAACACCCGUGGCGAAGGCGGCUCUCUGGGACGGUACUGACGCUGAGACGCGAAAGCGUGGGGAGCGAACAGG
rnacentral:rRNA from 1 species